rnacentral:rRNA from 1 species
CCUACGGGUGGCUGCAGUGAGGAAUAUUGGUCAAUGGCCGGAAGGCUGAACCAGCCAAGUCGCGUGAGGGAAUAAGGCCCUAUGGGUCGUAAACCUCUUUUGUCAGGGAGCAAAGGCGUCCACGUGUGGACGAGAGGAGAGUACCUGAAGUAAAAGCAUCGGCUAACUCCGUGCCAGCAGCCGCGGUAAUACGUAGGAUGCGAGCGUUAUCCGGAUUUAUUGGGUUUAAAGGGUGCGUAGGCGGGCCUUCAGGCCGGCGGUAAAAUGGCGGGGCUCAACCCCGCCACGCCGUCGGAACCGGGGGCCUUGAGUACCGGAGAAGUACGCGGAAUGCGUGGUGGAGCGGUGAAAUGCAUAGAUAUCACGCAGAACCCCGAUGGCGAAGGCAGCGUACCGGCCGGUCACUGACGCUGAGGCACGAAAGCGCGGGUAUCGAACAGGAUUAGAUACCCUAGUAGUC